rnacentral:rRNA from 1 species
AACGAACGCUGGCGGCAGGCUUAACACAUGUAAGUCGAGCGCCCCGCAAGGGGAGCGGCAGACGGGUGAGUAACGCGUGGGAAUCUACCCAUCUCUACGGAAUAACGCAUGGAAACGUGUGCUAAUACCGUAUACGUCCUUCGGGAGAAAGAUUUAUCGGAGAUGGAUGAGCCCGCGUUGGAUUAGCUAGUUGGUGGGGUAAAGGCCUACCAAGGCGACGAUCCAUAGCUGGUCCGAGAGGAUGAUCAGCCACACUGGGACUGAGACACGGCCCAGACUCCUACGGGAGGCAGCAGUGGGGAAUAUUGGGCAAUGGGCGCAAGCCUGAUCCAGCCAUGCCGCGUGAGUGAUGAAGGCCCUAGGGUUGUAAAGCUCUUUCACCGGUGAAGAUAAUGACGGUAACCGGAGAAGAAGCCCCGGCUAACUUCGUGCCAGCCGCCGCGGUAACAC